rnacentral:misc_RNA from 1 species
GAAACAACUUGAUACCCUCUUCCCUGGUUUAUGGCUAACUUCAAUAACUCCUGAUUUGUAUAAAGUUUGUGAAAAUGUUCCAAAGGGUUAAAAGGAAUCCUUCAAAGUUGGUGGUUGUCCUUCGAAUGUCCUUUGCUUUUUGUGGAAGUUUGAAGGUGAUGGCUUCCAAAUUUUAUGAUUUCAUUUGGAGGUUCAGGAAUAUGAGACUUCCAGCCUUAAAAGUUGUUAUCCAACACAAAUUCUCUUCUCCCAAAAACAUUAUUUGAGAGGUAGGAGGCAGUUAUAAGCUGAUAUAUGUGAAGGAGGGACCAUUUUGAAUCCUUCAUUUUAAGCAUCAUCAUCCAUCCCACUUGAGUAACAAUCAGUAUAUCUGUUGAAGUAGGUCAGUGGGAGGCAGCCUUAC